rnacentral:rRNA from 1 species
CGUGUAGGUGGCUAUGCAAGUCCGGUGUGAAAUCCCGCGGCUCAACCGCGGAACUGCAUUGGAAACUGCAUAGCUCGAGAGUUGGAGGGGGUUUCGGAAUUCCCGGUGUAGAGGUGAAAUUCGUAGAUAUCGGGAGGAACACCAGUGGCGAAGGCGGAGACCUGGCCAACGACUGACACUGAGACGCGAAAGCGUGGGGAGCAAACA